UUUGUGGUUUAUGAUUGGUGAAUGGGACUCAAAAGUAUAUUGUGCAGUAAGCACUAAGCAGUUAUAUAUGUAGCCCUUAAUCCCCUUAAAAAAAAUCACUAAGUACCCCUAUCAGAUCAAAGCUGCCAAACAUCGGCUUCAACCCAACAUGGGGUGUAAGAUGAUCCCUGUGCUGUCAAUACUUGUUCUACUGUUAUCGCUUUCGCUACUCUUACCUCUAUCUUCAACCACAAACACGCACUUAAUUGGAAAUGAAAUCAACCGAGAGAUUGAAAGAAGCUAAUACGAGUAGGAGUACCAUGUAAUCGUCAUCCAGGGAGUGGUGCUGUCUGUAAUCCUCCUUAUGCAGUUGCUACCCAGACCCAGGAUCAUAAUUAAUCACUGCUACAUCUGGUAGUUUAUGUUAUAUAUAUAACUGUGAUUUCAAUGCAGAUUAUUAUGGAAAAGAUAAAUACUUAAUUAAUAAACCAUAAUUUGGGUAUUAA